GUAGGGAGAUAACAUACCAAGGAGGUGGCUUAUUUUGUACAGAGCUCACCUUGCUUUUGUCUGUCUUUUGAGGGCAAAAGAAUGAAAGCUGGUUAGAAUUUGUUGCGCUUGAGACUUUAGGAGCUACAUCUCUACUUAAGGUAAAGAGUUAUAUGUUUAUUUGGGUUCAAGUAAACCUCUACAUUUUCAGAUAUGAAAUGUGUUCUCUUCAUAGUCAACAGAUGCUCACUGGUUGACAGCAGAGGAGAGGAACCAAGUUAUACUUGACCUUAAAGCAGCAGGAUGGUCGGAGUUAAGUGAGAGAGAUGCCAUCUACAAAGAGUUCUCCUUCAAAAAUUUUAAUCAGCUUUUAGAAGAAAGAGGCAGAUGACAAGAAAAUCAGCUGAUGUCAGGGCAUGUAUUCAGAGAACCAGCACUGAGAUUAUAUCCUGGGGUCAGCUUUCCAGCCAGGCUCCUAUGACUUCUGCAUGUACAAUGGCCUGUAAUGUCAACUGAUGUUAUGACAACUGUUAAUGCCCUCCGGCCAGAGACAACCAGGAGCACAUCUAUAGUUGAACAAGUUGGGUGGAUUACAGCAAGAGAGAAUGCACACCAUAGGGAACCAUGGGUUAUCUCAGGAAGAUGGUGUUGGAAAGACUCAUCACAGGAUUUGGAUUAUACUAGUGAUUUUGGAAGGUUUUUAAGGAAUUGGGGCUUUGCUCUGGAUUGGAUGCUGUCAGGAAAUGGGUAAUUCUAUGAUUCAACAUUUUAAUAUGUCUUACCUAGAGGGAGAACAGACUAAAGCAGGGCCAAAGCUAAAAUUGGAAAAGAAACAAUAGUCACUCAUUAAACUGGGAGAGGAGAAUGUUUGGUAUUUUGUGAUUGGACAGUGUUCAUGUUUUGUGUGUGUUCAGAUAUCAUUAGAGAGUGGUGUGGUAUUAAACUGUCAUGGUCACAGAGUGGUCUUGUCUGAUGGUGAUGUUUAUAUUUAACAGGAGAGUAUCAAGGCCUAGUUAAUAGUAUCAGGUCAGCUCCCAGAUAAUCAGGAGCUGCUUUUCUCUUACUCACAACUAAUGUUUAGAGUAGUGGCCCUCUGUCACUGACAGAUCCUCACUCAUCUUUCACCUGGGACAGAAAAGCCAUUUUUUUUAUUAUAACAAUUUAAUGACAUUAAAAUAGGACGGUGUAAAUAAAAAGUGAAGUUCCAAUUGCAA